GGCCGGGUCCUAUGCAACGUCGGGUUGGUGAAUUCCGCCAGGGCCGGAAGGCAGCAACGGUAGCCUGCACCCGGGUGUGCCGUAGGGUGCCUGGCCCUC
rnacentral:SRP_RNA from 1 species